rnacentral:misc_RNA from 1 species
AACGCAAAUUGCACUUCUUGGUAUUCCGAGGAGUAUACUUGCUUGAGGGUUGGUCUACAAAAAAUCGUAAAAUUUUUUUUUACGGAUCUGGGUUUUCCGAGUUUUCUCGACUUCGGUUGCCUUAAAUUUAUCUUAACAAUGAGGUGUUAAUUAGAGAUGUUUUAUCUUACAUAUUGUAGGUUCGUUAAUAAUUAUACUAGUUGUUAUUAUCGCGUUAUUUAUCUAGUAUGUUUGAUUAGGUGAAAUAAUUCAAUUUUUUUUAAUCCUACCUCAAGUCAAGUAAGGAUACCCGCUGAACUUAA